rnacentral:rRNA from 1 species
UACGAAGGGUGCUAGCGUUGUUCGGAAUUACUGGGCGUAAAGGGCGCGUAGGCGGUCCUUCACGUCAGGCGUGAAAGCCCCGGGCUCAACCUGGGAACCGCGCUUGAGACUGGGGAACUAGAGUUCGGGAGAGGAUGGUGGAAUUCCCAGUGUAGAGGUGAAAUUCGUAGAUAUUGGGAAGAACACCGAUGGCGAAGGCAGCCAUCUGGACCGACACUGACGCUGAGGCGCGAAAGCGUGGGGAGCAAACAGG